rnacentral:rRNA from 1 species
GGGACACGUGGUAUCCUGUCUGAAUAUGGGGGGACCAUCCUCCAAGGCUAAAUACUCCUGACUGACCGAUAGUGAACCAGUACCGUGAGGGAAAGGCGAAAAGAACCCCGGCGAGGGGAGUGAAAAAGAACCUGAAACCGUGUACGUACAAGCAGUGGGAGCACGCUUAGGCGUGUGACUGCGUACCUUUUGUAUAAUGGGUCAGCGACUUAUAUUCUGUAGCAAGGUUAACCGAAUAGGGGAGCCGAAGGGAAACCGAGUCUUAACUGGGCGUUAAGUUGCAGGGUAUAGACCCGAAACCCGGUGAUCUAGCCAUGGGCAGGUUGAAGGUUGGGUAACACUAACUGGAGGACCGAACCGACUAAUGUUGAAAAAUUAGCGGAUGACUUGUGGCUGGGGGUGAAAGGCCAAUCAAACCGGGAGAUAGCUGGUUCUCCCCGAAAGCUAUUUAGGUAGCGCCUCGUGAAUUCAUCUCCGGGGGUAGAGCACUGUUUCGGCAAGGGGGUCAUCCCGACUUACCAACCCGAUGCAAACUGCGAAUACCGGAGAAUGUUAUCACGGGAGACACACGGCGGGUGCUAACGUCCGUCGUGAAGAGGGAAACAACCCAGACCGCCAGCUAAGGUCCCAAAGUCAUGGUUAAGUGGGAAACGAUGUGGGAAGGCCCAGACAGCCAGGAUGUUGGCUUAGAAGCAGCCAUCAUUUAAAGAAAGCGUAAUAGCUCACUGGUCGAGUCGGCCUGCGCGGAAGAUGUAACGGGGCUAAACCAUGCACCGAAGCUGCGGCAGCGACGCUUAUGCGUUGUUGGGUAGGGGAGCGUUCUGUAAGCCUGUGAAGGUGUGCUGUGAGGCAUGCUGGAGGUAUCAGAAGUGCGAAUGCUGACAUAAGUAACGAUAAAGCGGGUGAAAAGCCCGCUCGCCGGAAGACCAAGGGUUCCUGUCCAACGUUAAUCGGGGCAGGGUGAGUCGACCCCUAAGGCGAGGCCGAAAGGCGUAGUCGAUGGGAAACAGGUUAAUAUUCCUGUACUUGGUGUUACUGCGAAGGGGGGACGGAGAAGGCUAUGUUGGCCGGGCGACGGUUGUCCCGGUUUAAGCGUGUAGGCUGGUUUUCCAGGCAAAUCCGGAAAAUCAAGGCUGAGGCGUGAUGACGAGGCACUACGGUGCUGAAGCAACAAAUGCCCUGCUUCCAGGAAAAGCCUCUAAGCAUCAGGUAACAUCAAAUCGUACCCCAAACCGACACAGGUGGUCAGGUAGAGAAUACCAAGGCGCUUGAGAGAACUCGGGUGAAGGAACUAGGCAAAAUGGUGCCGUAACUUCGGGAGAAGGCACGCUGAUAUGUAGGUGAAGCGACUUGCUCGUGGAGCUGAAAUCAGUCGAAGAUACCAGCUGGCUGCAACUGUUUAUUAAAAACACAGCACUGUGCAAACACGAAAGUGGACGUAUACGGUGUGACGCCUGCCCGGUGCCGGAAGGUUAAUUGAUGGGGUCAGCGCAAGCGAAGCUCUUGAUCGAAGCCCCGGUAAACGGCGGCCGUAACUAUAACGGUCCUAAGGUAGCGAAAUUCCUUGUCGGGUAAGUUCCGACCUGCACGAAUGGCGUAAUGAUGGCCAGGCUGUCUCCACCCGAGACUCAGUGAAAUUGAACUCGCUGUGAAGAUGCAGUGUACCCGCGGCAAGACGGAAAGACCCCGUGAACCUUUACUAUAGCUUGACACUGAACAUUGAGCCUUGAUGUGUAGGAUAGGUGGGAGGCUUAGAAGUGUGGACGCCAGUCUGCAUGGAGCCGACCUUGAAAUACCACCCUU